rnacentral:rRNA from 1 species
AGCGAACGUUUGCGGCGGGCCUAACACAUGCAAGUCGAACGCACUAGCAAUAGUGAGUGGCGCACGGGUGCGUAACACGUGGGUAAUCAACCCUUCAGCUUGGGAUAACGACUUGAAAGGGUCGCUAAUACCGGAUACGGCGCGGGAGGCUUCGGCUUCUCACGAGAAAGCCUCGCAAGGGGUACUGAAGGACGAGCCUGCGGCCCAUCAGCUAGUUGGUGAGGUAAGAGCUCACCAAGGCGAAGACGGGUAGCUGGUCUGAGAGGAUGAUCAGCCACACUGGAACUGAGACACGGUCCAGACUCCUACGGGAGGCAGCAGUGGGGAAUAUUGCGCAAUGGGCGAAAGCCUGACGCAGCCACGCCGCGUGAGCGAUGAAGGCCUUCGGUCGUAAGACGUCUGU